CCUACGGGGGGCAGCAGUGGGGAAUUUUGCACAAUGGGGGAAACCCUGAUGCAGCGACGCCGCGUGAUUUAGAAGGCCUUCGGGUUGUAAAAAUCUUUUGUAUAGGAAGAAAAUGACAGUACUAUACGAAUAAGGUCCGGCUAAUUACGUGCCAGCAGCCGCGGUAAUACGUAGGACCGAGCGUUGUCCGGAAUCAUUGGGCGUAAAGGGUACGUAGGCGGGUCAUUAAGUUAGAAGUCAAAGGCUAUAGCUCAACUAUAGUAAGCUUCUAAAACUGGAGACCUUGAGUAAUGGAAGGGAAAGUGGAAUUCCUAGUGUAGCGGUGGAAUGCGCAGAUAUUAGGAGGAAUACCGGUGGCGAAGGCGACUUUCUGGCCAUUAACUGACGCUGAGGUACGAAAGCGUGGGUAGCAAACAGGAUUAGAUACCCGCGUAGUC
rnacentral:rRNA from 1 species